GCUGAAGCCAAGGUUUGACUUUUAAGGAGCAGGUUUGUCAGCAGGUGUGAGCCCUCAGCGUUUUGGCCUUAAGGGGAUAGGCUUGCCCCUCUUCUGCCUGACCUUCUGCUGUCUACGUUCUGCAGAAAAGAGAAGAGGAGACACACUGAAACCGGUAGGACAGUGAGUGUGUCUCUAUCCUGAGCCACUUGCUAAUCCAGAAUAUUUUCCAGAGUAUUUUCACAAAAGUACAGCUUGCGUGGAAAUCCUGACUCCGUCUUCAGCCGAUCGGCAUGCCUUCUUAUCUCAGGGAUUUCCUGAUCAAUUCCAGCCGCCGACAGCUCAACAAAGUCUUGUGGAAAAUCUGAUCGGUUCUCCUAUACCUUGGAGAACAUUUAAGCCAGUCCAAGAUUCCUCUUGGCUGGCUUUUAACCUGAAAAAAGCUUCCUCUGAGGCAGAGCUCCCUCAGAGACAACCACCAGCCAGCACUCCUUCCGGGAAGUCCCAGGUCACUGGAAUAUAUCAGAGAACAACAACCUGUCCCCAUCCAUUAAAAAAAAAAGGAAACUGUGGCAGUUUAAUGCUGCAUGUAACUCAACUGAUAAAAGCCAUGUUAUUUAUUUGUAAUCCUUCAUAGCCUUAAAUCAAGAUUUUGGUGCAUGAUAUCAUAUGCUAAAGAACAGAAUCCCAGAUGAACUUUUAAAGUUUGUUUUAUAUCAUUUUGUAGCACAGUAUAUAAUGGUGGCUUGCAUUCCAUGAUUAUUUGUUCAUGCUACAAAUACAAGAUUUUGUAUAGUCUCUCCAGUGAGAUUUAUUUAGAACUGCUUGUGUGUGAGUAAGAGACAUAUAAAUCUAUGGCCGUGUAAAGUCAUUAUUUCUGAAUAAAAGUGAUUUUGUGAUCAUAACACAGAGCUAGGAAUCAGGUUUGGGAUUAGAAUUAGUUUCAGAAUAUUGACCAUCAGCAAAAUGCCGACAUUUUUAUUCUGUUUUUAUUCUGUACUAUAUCCCCAAGACUAGGAUUGCCAUAUUCCAGUUUCACAAAUCUGAGUCAGCUAAUUUGCAAAUUAUUUGCUAUUUAUGCAUUUAUUUGCUAUUUAUGCAAAUUAAGCAUAUUAAUAGUUGCAUUGUCCACUUGUUUUGUUUUUGUGCCUAGUAAAUACCACCAAAAACUGGGUGAGGAUAUGAGGAAUCUUUUUUUAAAAAGAAUUCAGCCUUAAAUGCCUAGACUCUAGUUUCCAGCACUUUGAAAUAUUUUUUUUUAUUUAUGUAGAGGAUUUAUAUCCUGCUCUCACGGCGGCUUACAAAAACAAGAAAAAUACAUAAAUAAAAGCAAUAUUGUGACCAAAAAGUUGUCUUAGCAACAGUUAGGAAAUGCGAAAUGAAUGCUACAACCUGUAAUGCAGACAAAAAUCAAGAUUUCAAUAUUAUCAGUUCAGUCAGUAAUAUUAUCUAAUUAGCUUCAAAGCAAGCAGUGUUUUCAUAGAAUCCUUUCCAACAACAGACGAUACUCCUGCAUUAGUUUGAAGUACCUGAAGACAUCCAAGCUUAUGCUGGGCAGUAAAUUGAAGAUUGGCAAAUAAAGAGGAAUGAUGUAUUCUGUCUUUAGAGUAUUUAAAUAUGCCACUAGAAAGAACAGAACCUUGGUGUGCAGCAAAGUUUGCCUGAAGUUCAGAGAAUUUUGAGUAUACAAUGUAUAUGGAGUCCUGCCAAAAAUAGUAGUAAAGUAAAAAAAUACUCAUAUACUGUUUUUCAACAAAGUUCCCAAAGUGGUUUAAAUAGCAAAAUAUAUAAUGUUUGAAAUUUGGCUGUAUAAAACAAGAUAGCUACAAACCAAUCAUUUUCAUUUCAAAUUUUAAAUAAGGGAAUUUCUCCCCGUCCUUGCAAAAACAAGAAUUGGGCUUUGAAUAUGGGAAAUAAUAAUAAAGAAAAUGGAUUUGAGUGAAUUCUACAGUACUAAAUCCUAAGCUUGUCUCUAUUAAUUAAUUUGGCAUUAGGAGUAUGGGAUGUCAGCCACUGCCAGAGGGCAAACAUGUAGCAUCAAGAGCAAAAUAUACCACAUAGUAAGCAAAUAAGGUUUCCCAAGCUGGUGAGUGUGGGAUGGAUUGUUCCAUUCCUAUUGGUCUCAAGGAAGGGGGAAGGUUCCAUCCCCCACUGCAAUGAAUAUAUAUAGAGUCUGUUUGCAUGUCCAAGCUGGAUUUAGAAAGGGAAAGAGGUACCAGAGAUCAUAUCGCAAACGUAUGUUGGAUAAUGGAAUGGACCAAGGAAUUUCAGAAGAAAAUCAUCCUGUGCUUUAUAGAUUACAGCAAAGCCUUUGACUGUGUAGAUCAUGAAAAACUAUGUAAUGCUUUAAAAGAAAUGGGGGUGCCACAGCAGCUGAUGAGCAACCUAUACUCUGAACAAGACGUUACUGUAAGGUCAGAAUAUGGAGAAACCUAUUGGUUCCCCAUUGGAAAGGGCAGGGCCGGUACCAGGCAUAACUGGGCCCUUGGGCACCAGCUUGCUCUGGGCGCGCAGCUCCUGCCUUUUUCACCUACCACUCUAUUGUCUCCUGUUGCUGCGUGCGCUGCGCACACAGGGCUGCCAUCCUCCAAGAUGGCAGAGGAAGCUUCUCUAAGGGGCUGAUGUCCCUGCUGCCAUCUUGGUUGAUGGCAGGCAUGUGCGGUAUGCUACGCGCACGUGCAUGCAAAUGCCUGCCAUCAACCAAGAUGGUGGUAGGAGCAUCAGCCCCUUAAAAGAGCCUCCGCUGCCAUCUUGGUUGAUGGCUACCCAGCUCACACAGCCUCAGAAAACAGGAGAGAGAGGUAGGUGGAGAGAGCGAACAGGUGGGCGGCCUGAAAGUGAGCCUGCCGCAGAUCAUGGAAGGGGAGCGUUACUCCCCCACCCUAAUGAGGGGCCCUUUGGGCCAUGGGGCCCUCGGCCAAGGCUCAACCUGGCUGCUCUUGAGCACAAAAGCAGGACUACAGCUGAACGUCAAGAAGACUAAAGUAAUGACAACAGAAGAUUUAUAUAUCUUUAAAGUUGACAAUGAGGACAUUGAGCUUGUCAAGGAUUAUCACUACCUUGGCACAGUCAUUACCCAAAAUGGAGACAAUAGUCAAGAAAUUAAAAGAAGGCUAGGGACUGGGGAGGGUAUAAGAACUAGAAAAGGUCAUCAAAUGCAAAGAUGUAUCACUAAACAGUAAAUUGUUUUUAAAUUUUUUAAAUUGUGUUUUUAAUUUUUUUGUGUGUUUUAAAAUUUGUAUAUUUGUUUUUAUUGUUUUUAAUUGCUGUAAACCGC